rnacentral:rRNA from 1 species
AUUGAACGCUGGCGGCAGGCCUAACACAUGCAAGUCGAGCGGAUGAAGGGAGCUUGCUCCUGGAUUCAGCGGCGGACGGGUGAGUAAUGCCUAGGAAUCUGCCUGGUAGUGGGGGAUAACGUCCGGACACGGGCGCUAAUACCGCAUAAGUCCUGAGGGAGAAAGUGGGGGAUCUUCGGACCUCACGCUAUCAGAUGAGCCUAGGUCGGAUUAGCUAGUUGGUGGGGUAAAGGCCUACCAAGGCGACGAUCCGUAACUGGUCUGAGAGGAUGAUCAGUCACACUGGAACUGAGACACGGUCCAGACUCCUACGGGAGGCAGCAGUGGGGAAUAUUGGACAAUGGGCGAAAGCCUGAUCCAGCCAUGCCGCGUGGGUGAAGAAGGUCUUCGGAUUGUAAAGCACUUUUAGUGGGGAGGAAGGGCAGUAAGUUAAUACCCUGCUGUUUUGACGUUACCAACAGAAUAAGCACCGGCUAACUUCGUG